rnacentral:rRNA from 1 species
AAAUUGAAGAGUUUGAUCAUGGCUCAGAUUGAACGCUGGCGGCAGGCCUAACACAUGCAAGUCGAACGGUAACAGGAAGCAGCUUGCUGCUUUGCUGACGAGUGGCGGACGGGUGAGUAAUGUCUGGGAAACUGCCUGAUGGAGGGGGAUAACUACUGGAAACGGUGGCUAAUACCGCAUAACGUCGCAAGACCAAAGAGGGGGACCUUCGGGCCUCUUGCCAUCAGAUGUGCCCAGAUGGGAUUAGCUUGUUGGUGAGGUAACGGCUCACCAAGGCGACGAUCCCUAGCUGGUCUGAGAGGAUGACUAGCCACACUGGAACUGAGACACGGUCCAGACUCCUACGGGAGGCAGCAGUG